ensembl:lncRNA
CGCAGCUCUAGGCUGCCCUYGCUCGCGCAGCCGCAGUUCCGCCGGCACUGCGGGGCGUAGAGAGCGUCGCUUAACUGCUGCGGGAUGCUUCUCAGCACUUUUCUGCACCUAGGUGCAUUCCCUUCGGUCGCUCCGAGCCUCGCUGCUGUGCGCCUCUCUUGCAGACAGAUGACAGCUCUUCCUUGGACGUUUUCACUGGUUCUGCAACACCCAGUGUCCCCUUCUCUCCGCACUCCCCGGUGGGCGCCCAGUGUCCAGGGGGAGGAUGUCCCUGGAUGA